rnacentral:rRNA from 1 species
AUUGAACGCUGGCGGCAUGCCUUACACAUGCAAGUCGAACGGUAACAGGUCUUCGGAUGCUGACGAGUGGCGCACGGGUGCGUAAUACAUCGGAACGUGCCCGAUCGUGGGGGAUAACGAGGCGAAAGCUUUGCUAAUACCGCAUACGAUCUACGGAUGAAAGCGGGGGAUCUUCGGACCUCGCGCGGACGGAGCGGCCGAUGGCAGAUUAGGUAGUUGGUGGGAUAAAAGCUUACCAAGCCGACGAUCUGUAGCUGGUCUGAGAGGAUGAUCAGCCACACUGGGACUGAGACACGGCCCAGACUCCUACGGGAGGCAGCAGUGGGGAAUUUUGGACAAUGGGCGAAAGCCUGAUCCAGCCAUGCCGCGUGCAGGAUGAAGGCCUUCGGGUUGUAAACUGCUUUUGUACGGAACGAAAAGCCUCUUUCUAAUAAAGAGGGGUCAUGACGGUACCGUAAGAAUAAGCACCGGCUAACUACGUG